GCGAGGUUAGUCUAGUCUGGUUAGGACAUUAGCUUGCCAAGCUAGUAAGGCGGGUUCAAAUCCCGCACCUCGCA
rnacentral:tRNA from 2 species